GACGAACGCUGGCGGCGUGCUUAACACAUGCAAGUCGAACGGAAAGGCCCUGCUUUUGUGGGGUGCUCGAGUGGCGAACGGGUGAGUAACACGUGAGUAACCUGCCCUUGACUUUGGGAUAACUUCAGGAAACUGGGGCUAAUACCGGAUAGGAGCUCCUGCUGCAUGGUGGGGGUUGGAAAGUUUCGGCGGUUGGGGAUGGACUGGAGGCUUAUCAGCUUGUUGGUGGGGUAGUGGCUUACCAAGGCUUUGACGGGUAGCCGGCCUGAGAGGGGGACCGGCCACAUUGGGACUGAGAUACGGCCCAGACUCCUACGGGAGGCAGCAGUGGGGAAUAUUGCACAAUGGGCGGAAGCCUGAUGCAGCAACGCCGCGUGCGGGAUGACGGCCUUCGGGUUGUAAACCGCUUUCGCCUGUGACGAAGCGUGAGUGACGGUAAUGGGUAAAGAAGCACCGGCUAACUACGUG
rnacentral:rRNA from 1 species